CGGACGUGAGUAACGCGUGGAAAACCUGCCGUAUACUGGGGGAUAACACUUAGAAAUAGGUGCUAAUACCGCAUAAGCGCACAGCUUCGCAUGAAGCGGUGUGAAAAACUCUGGUGGUAUACGAUGGUUCCGCGUCUGAUUAGCUAGUUGGUGGGGUAAUGGCCUACCAAGGCAACGAUCAGUAGCCGGCCUGAGAGGGUGAACGGCCACAUUGGGACUGAGACACGGCCCAAACUCCUACGGAAGGCAGCAG
rnacentral:rRNA from 1 species